CAGUUCAGAUUGUAGGCUGCAACUCGCCUACAUGAAGUCGGAAUUGCUAGUAAUGGCAGGUCAGCAUACUGCCGUGAAUACGUUCCCGGGCCUUGUACACACCGCCCGUCACACCAUGGGAGCCGGUAAUACCCGAAGUCAGUAGUCCAACCUCGUGAGGACGCUGCCGAAGGUAGGAUUGGCGACUGGGGUGAAGUCGUAACAAGGUACC
rnacentral:rRNA from 1 species